rnacentral:rRNA from 1 species
GGCGGACGGGUGAGUAACGCGUAGGAAUCUACCCAGUAGCGGGGGAUAGCCCGGAGAAAUCCGGAUUAAUACCGCAUACGCCCUACGGGGGAAAGCGGGGGACCUUUUCGAAGGCCUCGCACUAUUGGAUGAGCCUGCGUUGGGUUAGCUAGUUGGUGGGGUAAAGGCUCUCCAAGGCGACGAUCCAUAGCUGGUCUGAGAGGAUGAUCAGCCACACUGGGACUGAGACACGGCCCAG